rnacentral:rRNA from 1 species
AUUGAACGCUGGCGGCAUGCCUUACACAUGCAAGUCGAACGGCAGCACGGGUGCUUGCCCCUGGUGGCGAGUGGCGAACGGGUGAGUAAUACAUCGGAACAUGUCCUGUAGUGGGGGAUAGCCCGGCGAAAGCCGGAUUAAUACUGCAUACGAUCUACGGAUGACAGCGGGGGACCUUCGGGCCUCGCGCUAUAGGGUUGGCUGAUAGCUGAUUAGCUAGUUGGUGGGGUAAAGGCCUACCAAGGCAACGAUCAGUAGCUGGUCUGAGAGGACGACCAGCCACACUGGGACUGAGACACGGCCCAGACUCCUACGGGAGGCAGCAGUGGGGAAUUUUGGACAAUGGGCGAAAGCCUGAUCCAGCAAUGCCGCGUGUGUGAAGAAGGCCUUCGGGUUGUAAAGCACUUUUGUCCGGAAAGAAAUCCUUGGCUCUAAUACAGUCGGGGGAUGACGGUACCGGAAGAAUAAGCACCGGCUAACUACGUG